GAUGAACGCUGGCGGCGUGCCUAAUACAUGCAAGUCGAGCGAACAGACGAGGAGCUUGCUCCUCUGACGUUAGCGGCGGACGGGUGAGUAACACGUGGAUAACCUACCUAUAAGACUGGGAUAACUUCGGGAAACCGGAGCUAAUACCGGAUAAUAUAUUGAACCGCAUGGUUCAAUAGUGAAAGACGGUUUUGCUGUCACUUAUAGAUGGAUCCGCGCCGCAUUAGCUAGUUGGUAAGGUAACGGCUUACCAAGGCAACGAUGCGUAGCCGACCUGAGAGGGUGAUCGGCCACCCUGGAACUGAGACACGGUCCAGACUCCUACGGGAGGCAGCAGUAGGGAAUCUUCCGCAAUGGGCGAAAGCCUGACGGAGCAACGCCGCGUGAGUGAUGAAGGUCUUCGGAUCGUAAAACUCUGUUAUGAGGGAAGAACAAAUGUGUAAGUAACUAUGCACGUCUUGACGGUACCUAAUCAGAAAGCCACGGCUAACUACGUG
rnacentral:rRNA from 1 species